rnacentral:ncRNA from 1 species
GCCAGUGAGAUACUGGAGGAAGGUGGGGAUGACGUCAAGUCCGCAUGGCCCUUAUGGGCUGGGCCACACACGUGCUACAAUGGCAAUGACAAUGGGAAGCAAGGCUGUAAGGCGGAGCGAAUCCGGAAAGAUUGCCUCAGUUCGGAUUGUUCUCUUCAACUCGGGAACAUGAAGUUGAAAUCGCAAGUAAUCGCGGAUCAGCAUGCCGCGGA